GAUGAACGCUGGCGGCGUGCCUAAUACAUGCAAGUCGAGCGAACGGACGAGAAGCUUGCUUCUCUGAUGUUAGCGGCGGACGGGUGAGUAACACGUGGAUAACCUACCUAUAAGACUGGGAUAACUUCGGGAAACCGGAGCUAAUACCGGAUGAUAUUUUGAACCGCAUGGUUCAAAAGUGAAAGACGGUCUUGCUGUCACUUAUAGAUGGAUCCGCGCUGCAUUAGCUAGUUGGUAAGAUAACGGCUUACCAAGGCAACGAUGCAUAGCCGACCUGAGAGGGUGAUCGGCCACAUUGGAACUGAGACACGGUCCAGACUCCUACGGGAGGCAGCAGUAGGGAAUCUUCCGCAAUGGGCGAAAGCCUGACGGAGCAACGCCGCGUGAGUGAUGAAGGUCUUCGGAUCGUAAAACUCUGUUAUUAGGGAAGAACAUAUGUGUAAGUAACUGUGCACAUCUUGACGGUACCUAAUCAGAAAGCCACGGCUAACUACGUG
rnacentral:rRNA from 1 species